rnacentral:rRNA from 1 species
UACGUAGGGUGCGAGCGUUGUCCGGAAUUACUGGGCGUAACGAGCUCGUAGGCGGCUUGUUGCGUCAGCUGUGAAAACCCGCAGCUCAACUGUGGGCUUGCAGCUGAUACGGGCAGGCGUGAGUUCGGUAGGGGAGACUGGAAUUCCUGGUGUAGCGGUGAAAUGCGCAGAUAUCAGGAGGAACACCGGUGGCGAAGGCGGGUCUCUGGGCCGAUACUGACGCUGAGGAGCGAAAGCGUGGGGAGCGAACAGG